rnacentral:lncRNA from 1 species
CUGAUGUCAGGGGCUGGGCUGCCGCACGAGUGGCCUGCCGGGUGCGGGGGAAAAUGUUCGAGCGCGAGCCCCCGCGGGGCCAAUGGGGAGACGGAGGGCAGAAACGGGGGCCGUUGGAGCCAGCCUAAGCUUGGGUGUAAGCUCUGUCACUCAGAGCUCGGGACUAGGCGCUUUUGGGUGCAAAACGAGUGGCCCACACAACUCCCUGGCUAGAAGAGGCCCGAGUCUGGGAGGGGAGAGAUUUGGAGAAACCGAAUCUCAACUCCAUGAAGUCAGUGACGUGUCUCUUCUCUGCUGUACUCCGGGUGCCUGAAAUGUGCCUGGCAGGAAACUUUCAUUUUGGCCACAUAUGUACCUGUGUGCAGGCAUGUGUGCUUCUGUGAGCAUGCCCUGGAUCUCAAUGCCAAGGUCAACAGAAAGAAAGCAGAGAGUGAGUCACCAGCUAGCAGGAUGGAGCGUUGGAGAGUGGCCUAACAUGGGUAUUGGGAAGCUGAAGGCUGACCUGAGAGCUCCUCCUAGCAUGAGGCUCAUCUGUCAUCAUAAGCACAUGUGGGGGUCUCCUUCACUGGAUUGAGGACAUGUCCUGAGUGCAGCCAUCCCUGCCAGGAUUUAUGGGAACCAGGGAAGGUCUUCCCACUUGGCUGUAUUAACUACAGGAGGAUCGACCUUCAUGUGAGCACAGCCUGUCCCACCAAACUGGGGCCACAGGUGCCUACUCCAGGAAGCUAAAGAUGGUGGUUUGAGAGCACAGACCCUGGGCUCAGUCAUGGAUCAAAGCUCUGAUUCUCAUCAGCUGCAUAACCCCUUGGAACCUUCUGUGGCCUCUCUGAGCCUCGUGUCUUCAUCUGGAAAGGAGUCAGCUGCAAUGAUACCUGUCUUUGGGACUGCUGAGUGGUUAAGCAAACGAAAGAACUAAAGCAUUAGAAUGAUGACAAAGAAAGAAGAAAAAAAUUCAGGAUGUGGCAUGUGUGGACAAUCCAGGCAUAGAUGGCCAUUGUUCUAGGAGGACACGUCGGGAAUGAACCAAGGGGACUAUUUCCUUUUGCCACCAGGCGCGAGCCCAGGGUGAAGGGGGAUCUUCUAAAGGACCCAGCCCUACACUGCCGACUCCAGGACCCAAGCCCACAAUGCAGGUGAAUUUCCUUUGUUCCUAGAUGCCCUGCCUGGACUUCCUCUCCUCUAGGUUUGCAUUGCUGGGGGUGGUGGUGGGGCGGGGAGCGGGGCGUGCCUGCAGGUGUCAAGGCUGUGUUGGCUCCACAUUCAACCGAACAGAGACCAGUGCCCCCAUGUCAUGACCUCCCAGCUCCUCCCACUUUCGACAAGCUGAGGAUGCUCUUGGAAGAGCAGCCCAGCACUCCUGUGAGGGUGACGUAGUGUGUGAGACGGUGGAAGUGACAUUGCUAAUGAGGGAAAUCAACUGCUCCAACCAGAGGUGGAAUCUAAGGGAGGAAACGACAGGGAGGCCCGUAGAUAUAUGGUCUUGACCAAAGCCCCGGCAGAAAUCAGUCUCAGGCUAGAAAAUUGAGCUGUGAUUAUUACAAAGAGUCAGAGUGAUGGCUUCCAUCACGAUGCUUCAGGAACUCCAUAAAGAGCAGCCCAAACAAUUUCGACGUUAAGUGUUUGAGAGAGAGAAGGAUGGUUUGUAAAAGGAGGAGCUUGUUACUCCUCGAAAAGCUACUAUGAAGAUGUCAGGCGUAUGGAAAUAACAGAUGGGCAAGGCGGGCUGAGAUCAUUACUCUGAACUCUAAGUGCGGUUAUUGACAAGCACAGCCCACAUGGCUGGGCAAAUAGAUGUGCCUGGGAGUAGGAGGGAGGUACAUAAAGAAAGAAAAGCUGAAACCAGAUGAUUUCAAAACAUCAGGGGGUGGAGAGAAAUAGCAUUAGGAGGAGGCAUUUUUCAAAGCAAAAUAAGGGGGGGGGGAGGUUUGGGUGAGAAUGUGAGCAAGGAAGAUCCCAUAGAAAGAUAAUUAACUGACUACUUUGUAUUAAAUUACAGGUAACAUAGUAGUUCUUGAUGUUGGAGGGUUAACUUGGAAUAUCUGAUGAAAGCUGUGGCCUCUUUUUCUUAAAAAAAAAAACCAAAACCCUCAGUCGUGUACGCUCUAUUUUUGGUAAACAGUAUGAGGAAUGUCAGUGGACUUCCCAGUGGCAGAGAAGAGCAGUUUCUUCUCUGAUGGGAAGAGACAUAGAGAUAACGAAAGCGCAGAUCCCAGACUUUUCACCUAGCAGAUUUCUAGGGAUGCCAUGGAAAUGGGUCCUUCCUAUGGAUACAAUGUCUCAGCCCCAAACUGUGUUGUAUCCCUUCCUGGUGCUGGUAGGGUUAAAGGCUUCUUUGAAUUGUUGCUUGAGCAUUUGACUAAAAUCAGGCUGAGUGCCCUCUGUAGUUCUUGUCCUUCCUCUGUGAAUCAGUGGGGGUGCUGUUAGAAUGGGGGGGGCAUUUUUUUCUUGGGACAAGACAGCCCCACAAAUUACGUGUCUUAUAUCUUAGCCUCUAAGCAUUAACCACCAGUAGGAACGCCUUCCUGGCCACGGUGGCCACCUCCCACCCCCUUUAAAAUGCCAUUUAAGAGCCUGUAGGAUAUGUCAUUAGAACAGCUGUUCCAGAGACUGGUGUUUAGAGAUGACUGGCUGGAAGGUAUGGAGUCUUAUUACAUUUAUCCAUACAGCUUCUCAUAGAAGACUGAUGCUAAAAUGAGUCUUCCCAGUUGAGGCAUUUUCUGGCAAGUUUAGGCAUAGUCUCUGUAAAGUAAGGUAAGAAAAUCUACAUGAAGGAUCUAGAAGAAACGAUGUUGAGUGUAUUAACCUUGACUUAAGUGGCAGAACUGGGCUAGACUAGGUUCCUUUGCUCUUAGUACUCUUCCCAUUCUAUCUGCCCGUCCUUUGGUGCUGGGGACGGGGAAGUGAAGAAAUUAUAUUCAGGACUGCCUUCACCAAAAGGGCAGAUGGCCUUAUGAUUUGAAAGUUCUAUUUUGAGACCAGUUAAGCGGGAGGAAUUUCAGUUCAUUGCUCGUGUGUCCUUUACCAGCACUGGGAGGUCCCUGAGCAACGCUCAUGGUUAGCAACGUCUAGAAGAUGACACACCAUAUGCUGAAAGGUAGGCACUGAAGACCUUUGAUGGCAUUAGAAGAGGGUCAUACAGCCUCCCAAGAGGGCGAAGAGCAGGAACAAAUGUGAACUGGAGCUCAGAUGUCAGCCUGCUCCACAAGACAAGGGACACAGGGCAGCCUCAGAUGGGCAGAGGAUCAAGAUCAAAUGCUCUGAAACAGGAGCGCACUGAUUCCCACAAUAAACAGGUGGACAGGGAACAGCCUCACUGAGAUGCGCCUUGGAGAUGAUGGCUGCUGGGGUUUUGGUUUCUCUUCUGCAAGUAGUUCCUAGCUUUGCCAGAAUAUAAAUAGACUAUAUCGAGACUUAGCGCUAGAAGGGACCUAAAAGGCUUGAUAGCUCAGUUUCAUUACUUUAUCAGGAAAAAAACCCAAAGUCCAGAGAAGUUAAUUAAUUUGCCUAAGGUGACAUAGGUAAGAGAGUUACAGAAUAGGAUGGGAAGUCAGAUCUCUUUCUCUCAAUUAUUCAUUUAUUCUGCAGACACUGAGCACUUUCUGUGCACUGUCCUUGAGCUUGAACCUAAUGGACUAUAGAGCUGCGUAGGGCGCACUGCUUGUUUUUCAGAGGUUCUCAAUCAACCAGGCAAAGAGGCCCAUGAAUAAAUCAUGAGAGGACAGAAUAGUACGAAUAACAUCAAAGCCUUUCCACAAUGCUAAAUGAUACAUAUAAAGUGCUGAGAGCCACUGGCUACUCGAUUAUAUUAAGUAGGCGGUGGAGGUCUUGUCCUAUGUGCUGGUCCCCAUCUACAUCGGCCCAUCCCUGAAGGAAAUCAGCUUUUAGCUUUCAGCCUCCAUCCUUCCCACGUAAGAACCAGUACUAACAUGGCAGUGGGCAUGUUAAGAGUUUAGGUCCAAAGCAGUUGGAGUGUGGAACUGUUUCUGUCAAUGUGGGCCCAGUGUCCUGUGCACCUGACUACCCACCUUUGGCAUGACUUAAAAUGGCCCAAGUACAAAGGAAUCCAUGAAAAGGACAGACAGGAGGAGUUCCUGCUAUAGCACAGUGGGUUAAGAAUCUGACUGCAGCGGCUCAGGUCACUUUGGAGGCUUGGGGUCCAUCCCUGGCCUGCAGCAGUGGGGAGAAGGAUCCAGGAUUGCUGCAGCUGCAGAGUAGGUCACAGUUGCGUCUUGGAUUCAGUCCCUGGCCCAGGAACUUCCACAUGCUGCAGGUGUGGCCAUUUGGGAGAGACAGGGGCGAGGGAGGGAGAGGGAGGACUAUCACCGUGCUCCUUGCAGGAAGGAUCCGCAGACUUUGUCUCGCAGCCUCUGCUUUCAGGCUUUGAGAUGGGCCUCUCUUUGUGUAUCUGCCUCACUCCCCUGCUCUUUUUGGCUUAUGUUUUUAGGCUUAUUUGUCAUCAUGCAUAUGAUCCAGUCAGGUCUGAGAUUACCUGGCUGAGGAGGUCCAGUGUCUCCUAUUGUUUAGUUUGCUUAUAGGUCCUGUGCUGAAGAGAUAGAGUGAGUCAGUUCAAACUCCCUCAAUUUGGAUCCGCUGCCCACCCCUCUUCCACUCAGCUGUGGUCAGAGGAGUGUGGUCAACUCUUGCAGCCAAGAACCUGGGUCCCCCUCCAUCAUCAGUGGCUGUGAAUCAACCAUGCCCUAAAGUCGCAUGGUCCGGGCAGGGAAAGAAACUCUAUACCGUAGCCUUCCUCUACACCUUCCAGCUUUGAGGACGCGUCUGUCUUAAUUUUUCUGUCUUCACUCAAGCUCUCCAGUGUAAUGGAGUUCAGCUCCACUGACUGUUCGGUGUUAUCAGCCUGCUCAGUCUGCCAUAAUGGAAUACCACAGGCUAGGUGGCUCAAACACCAGAAAUUUAUUUUAUCCCAGUUCUGAAGGCGAGAAGUCCAAGAUUAAGGUGCCAGGUGGUUGGGUUUCUGGGGAGCUCUCUCUCCCUGGCUUGUGGAUGGCCACCUUCUCCCUGUGUCCUCACAUGGACCUUCCUGUCUUGGAGAGUGUGUGUUCUGGUUUCGCUUCCUCUUCUUCUAAGGGCACCAGGACUGUGGCCUUAGGGCCCCACCCUCAGGACCUGAUUUAAUCUUAGCUACCUCCUCUGAAACCCGACCUCCCAAUACAGUCACUCUGGGGGUAAGGCUUCAACAUGUGAGUUUUGGAGGAACACAGUUCAGUCUAUGACACCCAGCGGUCCUCGUCUACCUAGGAACCCUCCCUGUAGCUGGGUUCCUUGCUCCUGGGUUCCCCCUUUCUAUUCUGGGUCUUUGCUGCUAGCGGGGGUCACAAGAGCCAAGAUAAAACGUUGACCAGUACUAAAUCAGGCAGAAGUCAUUCAGGCUUUUAGGAGAACGGUCAUCUUUGGAAAUCAGUGACCAGAAGGAGUGAGAAGGGCUUUGGGGAGGAUAGUUCUGAUUCAUAACCUGAUGAGUGUUUUGAUUGUGAAAAUUCAUCAGCCUGUAUACUGAUGACAUGUGCAUUUUCUGUGUACAUCUGUUCCAGUUAUUCAGCGCUGUGUAACAAUUCAUUCCAACCCUGGGUAGGCUUCAAGCAACAACAUUCAUUUUUUUCAUGAGUCUACAGUCCAGGCAGGGCUUGGUGGGGGUAACUGGUCUCAGCCCCAUUUGGUGUCAGCUGAGGCAGCUGGAAGGUUGGACACUAGGAACAUCUGAGGCCUCACUCAUCCCUAUGUCUUGAAAUGGAUGGUGGUGGUCAGGUGAAACCUUACCUGGGACUAUCCCAUGGGGCCCCCCUACAUGGUGGCUGGGUUCCCAGCAUGAGCACAGAGUCAGGUAGAAGCCAUACUGCCUUUUAUCACCGAGUCCUUGAGGAGCAGGGUCACUCACCCUACAUUUUGUUCAUCACGUCAGCCACACAGGCUCAUCCAAUUUCCAGGUGAGGAGAAAUAUAUGCCAUUUCCAGGGGGGGAACAGCAACAUUCUGCAACAGAAUUUGGGACCAACUAUAUUGUUGUGGCAAAUAUCUGAAAAAAUCCACUCUGCUACAAUGUUAUACUUUAAUAAAAAGUGGGGGGAAAAAAACCUUCGGUACAAUAAACCUGAACAAACAAAAUAAAAAAUAAAAAAACCCCACCCAGAUAGUUUGAGAGAAACAAGUGGAAGCAUAUAACAAACCAGAUCUCCCUCAAGAGGUCAUAUCCCAUAUCUUCAUCCAUUCUUGAACUUCUAAAGAGCUUCUACGGUUGUCAGACUCUUUGACAUGCAAGCAUCUUAGGUAGAGAAAAAGAAUAAACAAAAAGGCAUCAGGAACCCACGAUGUGGUGGUAGGCAGGUUAUUACACAGGGCUGGUUGAGGCUUGUGUAUUUAUUCCUGGUCGUUUGUAAUCAUAAUGGAAAAAAAGAACAUUAUCUACAAAAUAGGAGGUUGCAGUGUGCAGGAAAUGGAGCGUGAAAAGGAUUUGUGCUGUGAUGUAGAGAUUAGGAGGAACAACCCAUGGGAAUUAAUAAAUGGGAUGCAAAUACAGUACAUUCGGGUGUAACUUCAGUGCACCUUCAAAGGAUUUGUUACCUGAAGAAAUACAAAUUCUCUGAAGCAAUAUUAAAUACUGAUUUUUUUUUUUUUUCCCCCAGAAUGGAAUGACGUGAAACGCUUUUCCAUUCCAAGGUGAUGCCAGAGUCCAUUCCCACUGCAACACUCUGGUGUUCUUCCUCCAGCCGUCACUUCCUCUUUACCCACCCUAGGUCACACCUACAUGUAUCUUUGUCCACCUCUACCCCAUGAUGCCGCCUGACACCAUCCAUCGAGGCAUCUCAGCGAAAAGCUUCUGGCACUCCAUCCCUGUCCACUCGGACAGUUUCUCUGGCCAUCUUGGCUUUAUCACCAGCCUUACCUGUGCCUUAGGCACACAGCAUCUUCUUGACUUUCUCCAUCGCAUCACCUAUGUCCUUGAACUUGGAAACUGAUUUAGUUUUCUGUAUUUUUGCCUCUUUUAAGCAUGGGUCUCUUUUGCCCUAGGCUUUCUUAUCCUUGGCUACUUUGAGUAAUGAUUCCAUCUAUUCAGGGGCCAGGACUUGGAUCCCAUCCUAACGUUAGUCUGAGAGGUCAGCAGAGCUAACACCAGGGCUCAGAGCAGACACCAUCUGGGUUUCCAGCUGCCAACACUGGUCAUGGGUGGGGUGCAGGACCGGGCUCAAACAGUGUGGACGUCACUCAGGAAAACUGCCUACUGACAUCUUCGUCGGCACCUAGGGUAUUGUUCAUGGUAAGACAUUUCAAACUGGAUCUUAAUGAUUUUCAAAAAAGAGGAGGGUACAGAUCCCCAAGGACACUCCGUGCCCCUUAAGCGUGGGCCCAGGUCCUCACCCAGCUCCUCUUCCCCGGAGAUAAUCCUUCUACCUCAACACAAGUGUUGAGUCAGGUCUGAUUUUAUACAGUGUAUUCACUGCGACAUCCCUGAUGGACAGUUUUGGGAUGAUCAAUUCAUAUUUAUUAAAAGAAGGAAAAAUGACUUCAUUUAUCAUGAACUUAUUUAGACCCCCAAAUUGGAUACUCUCAGAAAAAGUAAGGGUUGCAAAAAUGGAUUUAUAUUUUGAGUUUAUUUUCUUUUUCCAGCCGUGACUCAAGGCAACCAUUUGGUACUGUCGGCAUGAGUGAAAAUUGUGCAGGGGAGUUUCUGUUGUAGCUCUGUAGGUUAAGAACCCAACAUAGUGUCCAUGAGGAUGUGGGUUUGAUCCCUGGCCUUGCACAGUAGCUAAGGAUCCAGCAUUGCUGCCAGCUGCAGCGUAGGUCGCAGAUGCAGCUUGAAUCUGGUGGUGGUGUGGCUGUGUCGUAGGCUGGCAGCCGCAGCUCCGAUUCAACCCAUAGCCUGGGAACUUCCAUAUGCCGCAAGUGUGGCCCUAAAAAAAGAUAGAAGUUCUGCAGGGUCCCUCAGAGGCAGAAGGCUAAGGCGUGUCCCCAGGGCAUCCGUCCCCUCAUCUCCCAGCAGCACUGCCUCCUCUUACUCUCUGCAAAGGAAGCAGGAAACGUGUGGUUGAGUUGAAAGAUAUUUUCCUGUUUCUCGAAGCCAGCUAUGUUCUUAAGCUCCAGAGGGCAGUGGAUUCUCACUGUGCCCUCAUCCCACGUCAGGCACACCCAUGUUCAGACUAGGGCUCUUCUAGAGAAGAGCCAGAGUUGCCCCUGGACUUGUCUCCUCCUUCCCCAGGAGGGGAGAGGCACAGAGUCCCUAGGAUGAGGGCGGUACAGACUCUGCGCCAAUUGCUUCUCUGCUAGUGUUUCCUGCUUCCUGUGUUAACCUUUCUUUAAGAGCUUUUCCACUUCAAAACCAUAGAGAUAUAUUUGAGAACACGGUUAAGGAUGGCUCUUCAAUGGGGAUAUAAUAAAGCAUUGCUAAUGAAUGUUGGUUAAAAAAAA